CGCAGAACCAUAGAGAGAGAGAGAGUUGUGACAACUCCGUUCACUCCAAUGGACCAGUUUUUUACAGCAAUGGCGGAUCGUGGAGCCGCUCAAUAGUUCCCGGAAGUUAGCGCUCAUACUAUCAGCGUCGUAGAGAUGCAGCAGAAGAGACCACUGUGAUGAACUUUUAAAAGAACAAGAACCACCUGAAGACUCCCUGUAAAGAGACAUCACCCUCACAAUGAGUCUCUUCACUGGUUUUGGCAAGUCUUUCCCUGCUCUUUGUGUCUUUGUGAAAAAGUGCCAGUUCCCUAAUAUGAUUACAUCACAUUUUGUUGGUGUAAUCUAUAGAUUGCUCCUGCUGACUAUAUUCAGCCUCUAUAUUCAGACUUCAAAUGACCCAACACCUGUGAAGAAAUGACGCCAACCCUUCAGAGGACUUCAGAUGAAGCGGACUCUGAAUAAACAUACAAAACUGCUACAUUUUCCUUGCAUUGUAAUCAACAUGAUAACAUCAUAUCAGUAGGGAAACCAUACAUUCACACUCCUUUCUGUGAGUGACUGGAGCACUCCCAUGCAGCACAGCAAACUAUAGUGGAGACUGUUCAAGGACAACAUGCUUUAUAGUUUAUUAU